rnacentral:misc_RNA from 1 species
AAGUCGUACAGUCUCGUGUGACACGAGGAUAUUAGUAUCUAACUCCAAACCAUGUGAACUUACCUUUGUUGCCUCGGCAGGAGCUACUCGUACCUACCUGGAACAGCCUACCUGGAGCGAUCCGGCUGGCCUACCUGGAACGGUCUGGUGGUCGACUGCCGGUGGACCAUUCAACUCUUGUUAUUUUAUUGUAAUCUGAGCGUCUUAUUUUAAUAAGUCAA